GCAUGGAUGGCCGAGUUUGGUUAAGGCGCGCGACUUAAGUUCGCGUGUGGAAACACACCUGGGUUCAAGUCCCAGUCCAUGCA